rnacentral:misc_RNA from 1 species
GAUGAAGAACGUAGCGAAAUGCGAUAAGUAAUGUGAAUUGCAGAAUUCAGUGAAUCAUCGAAUCUUUGAACGCACAUUGCGCCCGCCAGUAUUCUGGCGGGCAUGCCUGUUCGAGCAUCAUUUCAACCAUCAAGCCCCAGGCUUGUGUUGGGGACCUGCGGCUGCCGCAGGCCCUGAAAACCAGUGGCGGGCUCGCUGUCACACCGGGCGUAGUAGAUUUUAUCUCGCUCAGGGCGUGCUGCGGGUUCCGGCCGUUAAAAAGCCUUUUUUACCCAAGGUUGACCUCGGAUCAGGUAGGAAGACCCGCUGAACUUAAGCAUAUCAAUAAGCGGAGGA